GGCAUCCGACACGGGAGUCCCUGGACCGAGGACUGAGAGUGGGCACGCCGCCCUUACCGUCACACCUGAUCCGGGUCAUGCCGGCGAAGGGAGGAGGAAAUGCAGGACU
rnacentral:ncRNA from 2 species